AUUAAUUAACCAACAACAUACGCAUUUUAAAUUUAGAAAUAUCGCUCCUUGAGAAACAUAACGUCAUUAUCCAAAAAAUGGGGUUUUUGAGUUAAUAACGCCAUCUAGCUCGUAUGAUCGUAACGCACGCAAUACGAAGACACCUAUCGCCCUAGCUCUAUUAGAACCGCCAGAGGGCGCUAAUGUCGUUAUGGCGAAUAGAGGGAAUAGGUGCCUGUCUCAUAGGAACAAUGUCAUUAAAGGGAAGUAAAUUGUAUUUUUUUGCUUAGUGACGGUUUUCUAUGAGAUUCAAUGGUAAGUACGUCAAUUUACAUAAGAAAUAGUGUAUCUAUACGUACUAUGUCACUUUAAACUUAUAAUAUGGUAUCAAAAUUAAAACUCAAUUUAAAGCAAUAUCGUACUUUUCCCUUUAAGGACACUUGUACUUUUGAAUUUAAUAGAAUAGAAUAACGUUUUGAAAUAAGUAAAGUGACAUUAUACCUAUAAUGACGGUUUUGCUUAAAACUUAAAGCCAUAAUGCUGACUAAAAAUAAAAACGUACUGUUCUUUUACUUUAAGUGACAUUGUGAUUUUAAGAAGCUGGGCCCGUAGCCAAAUUACAUUCGCUCCUUAUCGAUUCGAUCUCUACGUUCGCGAGCGACUGGUCGAUAAUGUUUAUAAUAACCUAGCCAAGAGGCAAUCUUUUUAGUUUUCGCUCAUUCUAUGCGCCAAGUCGGUAAAAAUUAAUUUUUGUCUGUGGUUCUCGUUCAAAACCGUCAAGAAACAUCAUCUGUCAGCUGUCAAGAGUGUCAAGUGAACAGCGAAUCUAAUUUUGGAGAAAAUAAUUGUUUUAUCGACAGCCGUCGUCCCCGCAGCCCCAACCAAGGCGGCGACGCAGCCAGAGCGGGCAAGAGCGGCUCCGCGGGCUCUUCUUCCACGCUGAGAAGUCCUCGCCAAGUUGGCACGUACAGUCAGAGCUGCCGCUGCAAUGACGCCUUCAUGGCAGUUACCAGUGCUAAGGACGUGCACUGCUGGCUUACUUGACCAGAAGAGACAAUACUUUAAGCGUUAGUAUUGAUUCAAACCGUGAAGUGAAAUUGUGGACAGGUUUGCCCGAAUCAGUGUAACCUCAGUGAAUUCAUUUAUUUCAUAGACUUCAAACAUUUUCGAAAUUAACAAAAGUCAAGCGGACAUUGAAUACAUAGAUGUUAUGCAUUAGAUUUAUCUAUUAAGAUCGCCGAGGACAGGAACACUUGGAAAAGCAUGGUACAUCGCGCAGGAAACUCUUCAAACUAGACACGACCUUCAGCAAUGAAGACGCCGACUAAGAAGAUGCAUUAGAUAAGAUAAAAGCUGCCUGUGAAACCAAAACUAAUAAAUCAUAUUGUUACUUAA